rnacentral:misc_RNA from 1 species
GCCGCCAUUAUCACCGCCGAAGUUGCGAGGGCCGUCGUUAAUAAUUGGGGUGAGUCGGAGGAGGAGAGUGGCGACGGAAGCGCCAGCGCCAGCAAGGGGUAGAGGUUAGAGGCUUUGACAAGGAUUUAAGGAUGGAAUUGUGUGAAUUGGAAUUACGGGGUGUAGGGUUUUGAAAGGAUGAAGGUAAGGAAGAAGAGGAGGAAAGAUCGCAUUUGAAGGAGAAAGCACGUGAGGGGGCGGUAGCACUAGCACAUGACUUGCGGCGGGGGGAUAAGGACGAAGAGGAGGAGAGUGGAGCGUUGGCUAUGAGGUUGGUGGGUGCUGCCAAAGAGUACAUGGCUCUAUGGAGGGAUAAGGAGGAGGAAGGAUAAAUGUAGACAAUGAGAAAUGGGGUUUAGCAGUCGACUGGUAAGGAGAAGAGUAGUUGGGUUUGGGGCAACUGAGAUUUAUGGACGCACCCAGGUUGAGCCUCGGUUGAACCCUUGGGUUGGGUUUGUCUGCUCCCGCGUAUGAGCCUUGGACAGAGGCGAGAUUAUCAAUGUUGUAAUUAGGUCUAGAA